AGUGAACGCUGGCGGUAGGCCUAACACAUGCAAGUCGAACGGCAGCACAGUAAGAGCUUGCUCUUACGGGUGGCGAGUGGCGGACGGGUGAGGAAUACAUCGGAAUCUACUUUUUCGUGGGGGAUAACGUAGGGAAACUUACGCUAAUACCGCAUACGACCUACGGGGGAAAGCAGGGGAUCUUCGGACCUUGCGCGAUUGAAUGAGCCGAUGUCGGAUUAGCUAGUUGGCGGGGUAAAGGCCCACCAAGGCGACGAUCCGUAGCCGGUCUGAGAGGAUGAUCAGCCACCCUGGAACUGAGCCACGGUCCAGACUCCUACGGGAGGCAGCAGUGGGGAAUAUUGGACAAUGGGCGCAAGCCUGAUCCAGCCAUACCGCGUGUGUGAAGAAGGCCUUCGGGUUGUAAAGCCCUUUUGUUGGGAAAGAAAAGCAGCAGGUUAAUACCCCGCUGUUCUGACGGUACCCAAAGAAUAAGCACCGGCUAACUUCGCG
rnacentral:rRNA from 1 species